rnacentral:rRNA from 1 species
GACGUAGGAUGCAAGCGUUGUCCGGAUUCAUUGGGCGUAAAGAGUUCGUAGGCGGUUUGUUAAGUCUGAUGUUAAAUAUUAGGGCCCAACCCUGAAACUGCAUUGGAUACUGGCAGACUGGAGUGCAGUAGAGGCAAGUGGAAUUCCCAGUGUAGCGGUGAAAUGCGUAGAUAUUGGGAAGAACACCGGUGGCGCAGGCGACUUGCUGGGCUGUAACUGACGCUGAGGAACGAAAGCUAGGGGAGCAAAUGGG